rnacentral:rRNA from 1 species
AGCAGCCGCGGUAAUUCCAGCUCCAAUAGCGUAUAUUAAAGUUGUUGCAGUUAAAAAGCUCGUAGUUGAAUUUCGGGGUUAGUAGGCUGGUCGUGCCACUGGUACGUACUGGUCUCACUGAUUCCUCCUUCCUGAUGAACUGUAAUGCCAUUAAUUUGGUGUUGCAGGGAAACUGGACUGUUACUUUGAAAAAAAUUAGAGUGUUUAAAGCAAGCUAACGCUUGAAUACAUUAGCAUGGAAUAAUGAAAUAGGACGUUCGAUCCUAUUUUGUUGGUUUCUAGGAUUGACGUAAUGAUUAAUAGGGAUAGUUGGGGGCAUUAGUAUUCAAUUGUCAGAGGUGAAAUUCUUGGAUUUAUUGAAGACUAACUACUGCGAGAGCAUUUGCCAAGGAUGUUUUCAUUAAUCAAGAACGAAAGUUAGGGGAUCGAAGACGAUCAGAUACCGUCGUAGUCUUAACAUAAACUAUGCCGACUAGGGAUCGGAUGGAUGUUAAUUUUUUAAUGACUUC